CUUGCCCUUUAGACUGGGAUAACAGAGGGAAACUUCUGAUAAUACUGGAUAAGUUAGUAUAUCGCAUGAUAUGCAAAUGAAAGCUACGGCACUAAAGGAGAGCUUUGCGUCCUAUUAGCUAGUUGGGAAGGUAAGAGCUUACCAAGGCGAUGAUAGGUAGCCGGCCUGAGAGGGUGGACGGCCACAAGGGGACUGAGAUACGGCCCUUACUCCUACGGGAGGCAGCAGAA
rnacentral:rRNA from 1 species